ACAGCCAUAUCAUAUUAAAACACUGGUUCUCAUACAAUCACUGAAGUUAAGCAACAUUGAGUUUGGUUAGUACCUAGAUGAGUGACCACUUGGGAAUACCAGUAGCUGUAAG